UGUCAGGGUCUUCAAACGCUUAAUGCCUUUGAAUAAAACUUAUAAAGACAAAGUCCGGAUUUUCUCUUGUUCUCAGUCAACGUCUACCCACUUUGAUAAGAAGAUUCCACUACAAUACUGAACCUGUAGAUGUAAGAGGAACCAAAAGGUCACAGAGCAGCCCAUUAGCCUUACCGUGUGGUUAAAUAUUUUAAAACUGUAGAAGAUUUUCACAAUUCCUUGUUAUGUUAAAUGUUUUGAGAAUAUGGCAGAGAUGUGAUCCACCAGGCCUCCUGUCCAUGAUUUUAAUGUCUUGGUUUAAAUCAUUCUAAGCGCCUCUAUAGUUGUUGGAGCUUCUUCUGACUAAGAGGUUAAACAGUCAGUUAGACAAGAAAAAAAAUAUUGAGCUCAUGAAAACAUUUGCACCAUAAAAAGAGGACAGUUUCUGCUUAGUACAAAGUUUGCUUCUGCAGCUCUGCUCACCAUCUGGACAUUCUUGUUAUUGUUUAAAUGAGAUUCCAGAGUACGUCCCCAGAAACUAUGCUGACGCUGUCGCGCCAUCAGGAGACAUGCUUCCAGGUGAAGAGGUGGAGACGAGUUGCAGGAAACGACGAACUGCGAUCUGCAUUAAGAAGAGCUAAAGGGGGCAAUAAUGUGGCAGAACUGCCUAUGCAGUGAAGAACAACCUGCAGGACGUAUCACCACAUGGUCUUGUGCCUUGGCAGCACUCCACCAUAAGAAGAGGCAGAUUGUAUUUUAGAUGUAGUGUUGGAACGGAUAGAGAAAUCAGUUGCUGUACUUUCAUGUACUUCCUAUUACUAAAUGAAUGAUACUUAAUGAAGUUAAUGAUUACUUAAUGAUAAUAAACAUUUAACAAUUUUCAUCAA